rnacentral:rRNA from 1 species
UAGGUGGCAAGCGUUAUCCGGAUUUACUGGGUGUAAAGGGCGUGUAGGCGGGACUGCAAGUCAGAUGUGAAAACUCAGGGCUCAACCCUGAGCCUGCAUUUGAAACUGUAGUUCUUGAGUACUGGAGAGGCAGACGGAAUUCCUAGUGUAGCGGUGAAAUGCGUAGAUAUUAGGAGGAACACCAGUGGCGAAGGCGGUCUGCUGGACAGCAACUGACGCUGAGGCGCGAAAGCGUGGGGAGCAA